AGUAAGGAAAUGUGCUCUCACGGUUGCAGCUGCUAUGGGAACAUAGGAGAGGAAGGCAUUUUUCUCAAGAACAGUGGGUAGGAUAAUCAUAGAAAAUUACAGAGAAAGUGACAUUUGAAAUUCUCCUAGAAUACAGCGCUUGAGAUGGAGCAGGGAAUCACAGGAAAAGCAAGUAACAAGAGCACAGCACUUCAUGAACAAGGAAGGCAAGGGCCCAGGAAUGGCUGAAGGGGAAAUGUUCUGAACUCACUUCGGAAUGAUUAUUCUAGUGCCUGAUGGCUGGAGGGGUGGGAGAAUGGAGACUAGAGGCUAGUGAGAGAGAAGAUUCACCCCAUUCCCUACCCCACAUUCGGAAACUGUAAGCAGACUGACAAAGGUUCCCUUGGGUGAAGUCAGAAGAUAAUGUAAACGACACUGUGCAGGGUGCUUCAUUCAGAAAUAUUCUUCUCUGUGGAUUGAGGUCCUGGAUCUUGGUAAAUGUAACUGAACUCUUCUGCUGCAGGAUCUUGCUUUUUAUAUGGCAUUUUUGUAAUGACCUGUAUGCAGACUGAGAAGAUCAAAACAUGUUCUGGAUAUCGUUACUCAUUUCUGGAGAAACAUCUGAUCAACUCAAGGAUCAUCAAAGUGAGAGAAACACUUUUCUCCAUGAAUAAGCUACAAUUAUAAUAAUAUUUAGUAAGCAGAAAUAUUUGCUAUUCACAAUAGUUAUCUUGUUAUUAUGCCCAUUAUUAUAUUUAUUUGAAGAGUAGGUGGUGUCUGAUGUCUCUGUUUCAUAUUUAUGUUUUCUUCCCUGCAAAAGAUAGUUUCUUGGAAAAGAGUGUCUUAUAUUUACAUUAUUUCAUUAACAUCCUUUUCAACUAACUCUGCCUUGAUGUCUAAUACAUAGUUCAAGCCAAAGUCACUCUCAGAGUGCCAAGCAAAUUCUGCUCGCCAAUUUCUUUUUAAAUAAAUGGAAUAAGCAUUUUUUCAUCUUAGAGAAUGAAACUUACACAGUGACCCAUUAACUGCAGUGAUUUGCUCAUAAAAGGUGGAGGGGUGGAAAUGAGGGGAGCCAAAGAAAUGACAAGUUUGGCAAUGAGGAAAUUUCAACUUCAAAAGGCGUUAGAAGCAAUGUAAAAUAAGCAUAUUAAAAUCUGUUACAGAAAAUUGUGUAAACCCUUAAAAUGUCUCUCCUCCCCAGUCUGGAAUAGCUCUACAUUAGCAGGGAUUCUUUUUUCUUUUACAACACAGACUUAUUGGAAAUAGGGCAUCAAUCACAUGAGCCCAUUGGUACCCUGACCUGGCAUAAAGCAGGAUCCUCUAGAGAAAAGGCAUGAAGUCAAGAUAAUUGAUAAACAUUGGCUUGAAGGUUGGCAAGGGUGGAUCCUGAAAAUCUACUUUGAGAUCAGACAGGUCCAGUGAAGUCACUGAAACCCCCAAGAAAGGUUGCUUGAAGGGCAGUUAAAAGGGUAGGCACACAUGCUGGAAGGAAUGAAGCAAAGCAGCAACAGAUUAGAGUGGAAAGCCCCAAACAGACAUCUCACAUUUUCCCGUUCGGCUGAGACCUGGCCAUGCUGAUGUUUACCACUAAAUCUGGAAAUCUGGAAGGCUUGUGCUGUGCUGAGCAUGUUUGAAUUUCUUUUCCUCAAAGCAAAAUUAUGAAGGCAAUUAUAUUCUUUCUGAAUUCUUCUGAACCACAUUGCAAUUACUUGGAUGCUCCAGCUCAUGCUAAACAUAAUGAACAACAGCUGAUCUUAAUCAGAUGUAUGAUGUGUUCUGCUACUGAGAAAGCAUGUGGCUUCUGAGCAAAAGAUAUAAAUUACACUUCAGAGCAAACUUCUGAACAGUAAAGAGGACAUAAGGCUACCUUUUCUGUCAACUUAUAUUUCUUUCGAAAGAAUUAAAGCUAUGUUUUUCAAAUACACAGACUGUACUUGUCAUGGGCUAACAAGUGCUCCUUCUAUAGGCGUACUAUAGUCACGACGUAAGAUGGGUCAGGAUGAUUUUUUUAAAUAUGAGUUUAUGAAAUUCGAAAGCAUGAGCAGUAAAUAUGACUUAUGAAGGUGCCUACCUCUAGAGAUAAUUAAAUAACAAAAUCCAUGUUCCUCCAAAUAUGUCAAUUAUUCUGUAGCACAUUUCUCGAAGUAAGUCUGCAAUCUAUCUGUUUUUAUAGACACUUACAGAACAUCCAAACAUGUUUCUACAGGUUAUUUUGCACUACCAGAUCCCAGAUUUCUUUAGAACAAUAUGCUGCUACCAUGCUAUCCUUAAAAGUUUGGAAAUUUAGGUAUUUGUAAUUUGCUUACUUUUAAAUUCAAUU
ensembl:lncRNA novel transcript